rnacentral:rRNA from 1 species
CAGCACCUCAAGUGGUCAGGAUGAUUAUUGGGCCUAAAGCAUCCGUAGCCGGCGCUGUAAGUUUUCGGUUAAAUCUGUACGCUCAACGUACAGGCUGCCGGGAAUACUGCAGCGCUAGGGAGUGGGAGAGGUAGACGGUACUCGGUAGGAAGGGGUAAAAUCCUUUGAUCUAUUGAUGACCACCUGUGGCGAAGGGGGUCUACCAGAACACGUCCGACGGUGAGGGAUGAAAGCUGGGGGAGCAAACCGGAUUAGAUACCCGAGUAGUCC